rnacentral:rRNA from 1 species
GACGAACGCUGGCGGCGUGCUUAACACAUGCAAGUCGAACGGAAAGGCCCUGCUUGCAGGGUACUCGAGUGGCGAACGGGUGAGUAACACGUGGGUGAUCUGCCCUGCACUUCGGGAUAAGCCUGGGAAACUGGGUCUAAUACCGGAUAGGAGCCAUUUUUAGUGUGAUGGUUGGAAAGUUUUUUCGGUGUAGGAUGAGCUCGCGGCCUAUCAGCUUGUUGGUGGGGUAAUGGCCUGCCAAGGCGGCGACGGGUAGCCGGCCUGAGAGGGUGGACGGCCACAUUGGGACUGAGAUACGGCCCAGACUCCUACGGGAGGCAGCAGUGGGGAAUAUUGCACAAUGGGCGCAAGCCUGAUGCAGCGACGCCGCGUGGGGGAUGACGGCCUUCGGGUUGUAAACUCCUUUCGCUAGGGACGAAGCUUUUUGUGACGGUACCUAGAUAAGAAGCACCGGCUAACUACGCG